rnacentral:rRNA from 1 species
CCUGGCUUAGGAUGAACGCUAGCUACAGGCUUAACACAUGCAAGGUCGAGGGGCAUCAUGGUGGUAGCUUGCUACCGCUGAUGGCGACCGGCGCACGGGUGAGUAACACGUAUCCAACCUGCCUUGAGCUCAGGGAUAGCCCUCUGAAAGGAGGAUUAAUACCUGAUGUGGUUGUCAGCUGACAUCAGCUUUCAAUUAAAGAUUUAUCGGCUCAUGAUGGGGAUGCGUCUGAUUAGCUUGUUGGCGGGGUAACGGCCCACCAAGGCGACGAUCAGUAGGGGUUCUGAGAGGAAGGUCCCCCACAUAGGAACUGAGACACGGUCCUAACUCCUACGGGAGGCAGCAGUGAGGAAUAUUGGUCAAUGGUCGAGAGACUGAACCAGCCAAGUAAGCGUGAAGGAUGACUGCCCUACGGGUUGUAAACUUCUUUUAUGCGGGAAUAAAGUUCACUACGUGUAGUGUUUUGUAGGUACCGCAUGAAUAAGGACCGGCUAAUUCCGUGCCAGCCGCCGC